rnacentral:lncRNA from 1 species
AUGGAGUCUUGCUCUGUUGCUAGGCUGGAGUGCAGUGGUGUUAUCUUGGCUCACUGCAACCUCCGCCUCCCAGGUUCAAGUGAUUCUCCUGCCUCAGCUUCCCAAGUAGCUUGGGACUACAGCUCAUGCUUACUAGAGUGCACAUCCUGCCCUCAAUAUUACGUCAACUUCUGGAGCUGUGUGUGAGCUGGAGGUGGCUGACUGCAUAUCUGUCAUGUGACUCAUCCAAGUGUUUCAACUCCCAUGGCAGCCUUCCAGCAGCUGAGAUUAACUUUCACAUUUUGAAGAUCAGUUUUUAAAGGUGGAAACCUUGGGUGUGCCCGCAGCACUACCACAUUUCUCAUGUUCAUAGAAACCUGGACUUGUCUGAGCCAUAAACCCUGACAGUAACGAAAAUGCCACAUUACAGACUGGUCAUAAUUCUCUACCUUUGAUUAUGCAAUUGCAGCCUGUGGCUGGCCAUCCUGUCCAUCAAAGAACUACUACCCACCAUCCUUUAAGUAGUCACAUACAUCUCUACCUCCCUUUUGGCUUUUGGUCCCAUUAUCACUUGAACUAAAACUUGUCCUCAGUUUCUGUGUACCCACAUUCCAUGGUCCCCUCAAGCCCUAAUUCCAGGUCUACUUCUUCUAUAAGUUCUUUCCUAAACAUGCCACCCACUGGGAUCCCACUUCCUAGAACCUCCUUAUCCUGACUGUCUCAAUGUGGAGUUCUCUACAUUCCCAUUUUGCUUGAUUACUUGUUUAUUUUUCACUCUUGCACUUUCAAGUGGCCUUUUUUUUUAUUAUGGCUUAUGUUCAUAGUUAAGUUGUAAAACAGCUGGUUUAUGUGUUACUCUUCAGGGUUUGCAAGGUACUUUAUAUCAUUCUGUUAAUCAGAACACUCAGUACAAAUUUGGGCACAGAGUAGGUGGUCAGUAAAGAAUAUGUGGCAUAAUACUAUGCAGCCAUAAAAAAGAAUGAGUUCAUGUCCUUUGAAGGAACAUGGAUGAAGCUAGAAACCAUCAUUCUCAGCAAACUAACACAAGAGCAGAAAACCAAACAUCACAUGAUCUCACUUAUAAGUGGGAAUUGAACAAUGAGAACACAUGGACACUGGGAGGGGAACAUCACACACUGGGGCCUAUUCAGCAG